ensembl:lncRNA
UCUCCACUCUGCUCUCAUAUGCAAUAGGGCUUCACACUUUCAUAGCUGUCUGACUCAAACACAGGAUCUAACCCAUAGAUCACUUUUAGCCAUCUGGUUUUUUGCUCACAUCCCAGUCCCACCUGAGCUUCUUCAGUUGUGAUACGGCCGUAGAACUUUGAACCCCAGCAGCCUGCAUCAGCAAGACCUUUACUAAGUCAUCUCAAUCUCCUCCCCAACUGCAUUUAAGAGAGAGAGAGAGAUAUUGUAAAAGGCACAGAGAUUUACAUGUAGGUAUUAAGGGGUAAAAAAAGACUGAAAGCGCUAUACAGCUGAUAUUCUACCUUCCUGGAGCUCUUCACAUAUUGCACAGAACUUUUAACAGAUGCAACAUACAACACAAAAUGCUGUCACAAUUAGAACAAAUUCACUAGAACAAACUGUUGGGUAAAUCACACAAAAGUACAUAUUAGAAAGAUAACAUUGAAAACAGGGGAAAAAAAAGAUUUACACUCUGCACUGAGAAGAUACUCUGUGGAAUCUAUACCAUAUUCAUUGGUAAUGGUGCAUCUGUAAACACCACAGUCUCUUUUGGACAUCUGUAUAAUAGCCAAGCACACUUGAGUCUCAUCUCCUGCACUAGAAGAGACAACAAAACAAAAUACCAUCAGCAGGUACGCUCAGCUUAUAAUAAUAUACAUAAUAAUAUUGCACGCUUUAUGAACCACCAGUCAUCAUAUAAACCAAUAGUCAGUAGUGAUAUUUUAAACCCUGCUGAAGAAAAAAAAACAAUAAAAUACCAUUACAAACAUUACAAACCAUUAAAAAAUGGUUUCAUGUAGUGUGUUUUGGGAGAUAUUCCAUUAGGAUUUAGUGGUUUUAACAAGCCACCAUUAGGAGGCAAAUAAUUAUCAGUAGAGACCAGCAGGGUCCAUUACAGUUUCCGUUAAAUGUAGUAAAAUUCCCAUUAUAACCAGUAAAACCAUUAAAAAUUCUCUGAUGGUCUCUUUUUUUUCAGUAGGGAAGUUUUAGGAAUCUUAAAAAGAUAAAAAGAAGUACUUCAUUUCAAGUCUAAAUGCUCUGAAGAACUUUGCCCAUCUGAACAACUUAAAAGAGUUGAGUCUAAGGCUAUUUGUUCGUGAACUGGACUGUGAAGGUUGUGCUGUAUGUAUCUAAUUCACUACAAAGAACUGGCUCAUAAGAGUAAAUCAGACUACAUCACUUGUUUGUUUUUGAUUUACAGAGUCGUGAAUCGCAACACAUGCUGUUGUUGUCUGCUAGGACACGAUUUUUAUAUUAUUUUGCGGUAUAAUAUAAUAUAUUGGGUGCUGAAUACCACUUAGAAGUCAGUAAAGCGGAAAGGAGUGCAUACCUUCUCUUUAUCUCAGCAAUUUCCACUUCAUCCUUGUACCAUUUUAUUGUUGAGUCACUUACUAUGUUGAAAAAAUGACACCAGAGUUUCAAAUGUCAAGAAGCAUCAAACACCUCUGGUCGGAUUUUAUGGGUGACAUGAGGAACUGCAGGUAAAUGAAAGGGAGGGAGAAAGAGAAAAGGAGAUAAAGCGGGCAAA